UACGUAGGGGGCAAGCGUUGUCCGGAAUCAUUGGGCGUAAAGAGCGCGUAGGCGGCCCAGUAAGUCCGCUCUGAAAGUCAGGGGCUCAACCCCUGGAUGCGGGUGGAUACUGCUGGGCUAGAGUCCGGAAGAGGAGUGUGGAAUUCCUGGUGUAGCGGUGAAAUGCGCAGAUAUCAGGAGGAACACCAAUGGCGAAGGCAGCACUCUGGGACGGUACUGACGCUGAGACGCGAAAGCGUGGGGAGCAAACAGG
rnacentral:rRNA from 1 species